rnacentral:rRNA from 1 species
CCCGCUGAACUUAAGCAUAUUAGUAAGCGGAGGAGAAGAAACUAACAAGGAUCCCUUAAGUAGUUGCGAACGAACAGGGGAGAACUCAAAUUGAAAAUCGCAUGGGGUAUAUUUCAUGUGAAUUGUAGUGUGGAAUGCAGUUGCCGGCGUCUUGCCCAAGCAAAAGUCUCGUGGGAAAGAGCGCACAAAAGGGUGAGAGCCCCGUGUAAGCUUGGUGCUGGUCGCAGACGGCACGCUAUUUCAAGAGUCGCGUCUCUCGGGAAUGAAGCGCAAAUCGAAUGGUAAAUUUCAUUGAAGGUAUCAACAAGUAUGGGAAUCCGAUAGUGAAGAAGUACCGCGAGGGAAAAAUGAAAAGAACUUUGAAAAGAGAGUUAAAACUCCCUGAAGCUGCCGAGAAGGAAGCGGUUCGAACUGCUACAAUAUCCGACAGAUUCCAUAGUAUAGAAUCGGUUCUUGUUAAAUUCCUUUGGGUGUUUAAUAAUUGCAUAGAAUUUGUCCUAUGGAUUAUCUGCGGCAUUUUUGCGCUCUGUGUGUUUGCCUAAUGGAACUUUCACGUGCCGACCGAUUAGUCCGGUCUGAGUGAUGAAGACCUGAUGGGCAUUCUUACAAGGUACGCGGCAAAGUGGUGUUCCUUGAACCCCUUUGUCACAGCAACGGUUACUUGGUUCGCACCGACCCGUCUUGAAACACGG